rnacentral:ncRNA from 2 species
GGCAGAGUAGGUAUAUGUGCGUUAAGUGCUGGUAGAACGGGAAGUUGUCUACUUGACGAAAAAUGGAGUUUCCAUUUGCGGUACAUAUAUUGCAUUCCGCUGCC